GUCUGGGAACUGCCUGAUGGAGGGGGAUACUACUGGAAACGGACUAUACCGCAUAACGUCGCAAGACCAAAGAGGGGGACCUUCGGGCCUCUUGCCAUCGGAUGUGCCCAGAUGGGAUUAGCUAGUAGGUGGGGUAACGGCUCACCUAGGCGACGAUCCCUAGCUGGUCUGAGAGGAUGACCAGCCACACUGGAACUGAGACACGGUCCAGACUCCUACGGGAGGCAGCAGUGGGGAAUAUUGCACAAUGGGCGCAAGCCUGAUGCAGCCAUGCCGCGUGUAUGAAGAAGGCCUUCGGGUUGUAAAGUACUUUCAGCGGGGAGGAAGGGAGUAAAGUUAAUACCUUUGCUCAUUGACGUUACCCGCAGAAGAAGCACCGGCUAACUCCGUGCCAGCAGCCGCGGUAAUACGGAGGGUGCAAGCGUUAAUCGGAAUUACUGGGCGUAAAGCGCACGCAUGGCGG
rnacentral:rRNA from 1 species